rnacentral:rRNA from 1 species
AUUGAACGCUGGCGGCAUGCCUUACACAUGCAAGUCGAACGGCAGCACGGGAGCAAUCCUGGUGGCGAGUGGCGAACGGGUGAGUAAUAUAUCGGAACGUGCCCAGUCGUGGGGAUAACGUAGCGAAAGCUACGCUAAUACCGCAUACGAUCUAUGGAUGAAAGCGGGGGAUCGCAAGACCUCGCGCGAUUGGAGCGGCCGAUAUCAGAUUAGGUAGUUGGUGAGGUAAAGGCUCACCAAAGCCGACGAUCUGUAGCUGGUCUGAGAGGACGACCAGCCACACUGGGACUGAGACACGGCCCAGACUCCUACGGGAGGCAGCAGUGGGGAAUUUUGGACAAUGGGCGCAAGCCUGAUCCAGCAAUGCCGCGU